UUUAGAAGUACAUAAAUCCGGUGAACACAAAUUCUAGAAAACAUACGGGAUGAGUGCCUUGACAUCUUUUGGGAAGUCUUCAAACUUCGAGAGGUACCAUUUUCUUGUAGCGUAACUUCUCCCCAUCAAGCAAACAGCUGAACCCACGGUGAAAGAUAAUGCAUAUAGAGUUUGCGAAAUACAGGAGAUUCCGAUAAAUCCUAUAAUUUCGAAUAAAUAAUGUGGGCAUAUGACUAAAUCAAACAAACCUCCUUGAGGAAUCUUGUACUGUUUCUCCCCCUCUUUUCUCAGCUUAGAUAGAAGGUAGUGGUGAUAAAAAUUCCCAGUUAUUCCAACUAAGAAACUGGCAGUUCCAGCGUAUUUCAGAUCGAUUACCGGCUCCGGCAAUUCUGCUACUAAAUGCUGAGAGUAGGUCACGGUGACUGUAUACAAAAAAUAACUAGCGGAGAAGUUGAUUACAAUAUCUAUGGGCAUGCUUCCGCUGUAGUUGUGGAUGAAUGAAACCUGAACAUAGAAAUACAACUGUUUAGUUCAAAAUAUUUAGCGACUUUUGGGUAAACCUAAAAAAAGUGUUCAUCGCUUAAAAUAAAGAAGUGAACCGUAAGUGAGAAGUACAUUAAGACUUAUAAGUGAUCAAACUGUUUGGGAAAGAAGUAGAAGUCCUGAAACAAAAACUAGCAUACUGAUCAGUUUUUUAUAAGUGUUUUUGGCUUUUUACACAAACGAGUCAGAAAAGUAGAAGCCGGCUUUUUAUCAAAAGAAGCGAGAAGCUCCGUUGCCCAAACAACCACUUAGUUUCUCAAGUUCAACUGUUUCUAGAGUAGGAAUAAUUGUUGCUGUUAAGACCACAGAACAAGAGAACUAUCUUGCAUAGCCGGCCGCAAGACUGUGUCAACUACAUAACUCAACUUUACGGAUUGCAUACCUCAAAAAGCCUUUUGAAGAAAUGGACGGUAAGAGCAGAAGUAACCAAAGUGAACCUAAGGCCCUCGUCUCGCAUAAAGGCUAAAAAGAUAACACUAGCAACGAAAGCUGGUGCAUAAACCACCAGCAUUCCCUUUCUACCAGAAAGCUCUGUUAUCUUAGAAGCUUCAGCAUUCUUCUUGCUGGUGUUAUAGAACUUGGAGUACUGCAUGCUCUUUCCUUUUACUUCCAUCAAUCCACCAUUCACUAAUAUUGCACCUGUGAUUACUGUCAUGGCGUUUAUGAACCACGAUGCUGGCGGCGGGUAGAUAAAUCUCAGCAAUGUUGACUGAACCAUUGUUCUGAGUAGAAUAUAACUGGCUAUAAUCUGUUAUUGAUCAGAAUAUGGAGAACAAGGAUACAUAUGACGAUAACAUAUUGUUAUAAUGCAGAUGUUAUAUGUUGUGUUAAUGGAAUGAUAUGGUCUAUAAGAUGCCACGAAAGCAGAUGUUUGUGGUCGUACUACAUCUGAAGAGGAUAAGUGGAGCCGUGGAGGAAAAAGAACAUCAUCACAACCGUCUUUUCUUUUUCAUUGUCUGUUUGUUCGGUUCGAAAAGCAAAUAAACUUAAAUUUGGAGAUUGUUCAAUCAUUUGAGUUAAAAAAUGUAUGGGCAACAAGCUGUGCACAAGAUUUCGUCACUGAUAUUCUAAUAUCACAGUAUUCCAAACAAUAUCGUAACUAAUUGUUUUCUGAGUAAAAUUCACCGUGGUGACAGGAGUUUUCCGAAUGUUGCAAAAAAUUGGCCAGAAUUUAAAAAUAGCAAAUAUUUGGCUGGAGUUUACCUCCACUUUUUAAAUCGGUGGCGCCGUCAAAGAGAUACUAACAAUUUUAACGGAGUCAGGAGUAAAUUAGGAUUUUAGCUAAAAAAAAAUAAUAAUGAGCACUGAGCAGUGUAGUAUACGAAAAGGUGAGGGCAUGAUCAAAAAUUUCAUAAAUGAGUCGGAUCUUCCAGGUCAUGCUUUUUAUUACCAAGAACUCAACAAAAUCAACAAAAAAGAGUCCGGAACUUUACAAACAUAAAGAAUCAAAUUUGGGGAAAGUGAAUAAUAAGGGGGAUGGAUCUAUGAAAAGAGGAUGAGAACACAGAACCCCAGUACAAGUACGAUCAGAAAUCUGAAUAUUUUCAACCUCAGUCCUCAGCACUCAAAUUAUCACUACUAGCACUGCUGCAAAUCUUGGCAAUAGCAGCAACAUCAUAUUUGUCACCUCUUUUGUCGGCGGCGGCAGCCUUCUUCUUACUUGCAUCAGACACCGUCCUCUUCUUGUUGUUCCUACUUCAACAAAAUCAAUAACAUCAAUCUAUAUAUCAUCUGCACUUAUACACAGAUAUAUCAUGUGGUAAAAAAGAGGUACCUUUAGAUCAUGGAUGAGUUUACAGAUAUUGAGUUUCUCCAGAUUUUCUGCGUCAUGCCGGUUGUUUUUUUUGACUGAAAUCCUAAUUUACCCCUAGUUUUGUUAACGCGGUUAGUGUCUAUUCGGAUGCCGCUGUUUUAAAAAGUGAAAGUAAACUUCAGCUAAAAAAUUGUUAUUUUUAAACUUCAGCCAUUUGUAACAUUCGGAAAACUCCGGCCAGCACCUUGAAAAAUAUUCCCGUUUUCUCGAAAUUCUGGGCCAUUUGAUAAUCUCUAAACCAGUUGAAAUGAUCUGAACGAGAUGAACUGAUAACUAAAUUUUUGGACAACUUAAAAUUUCUUUGAACGAGCAAGCUUAAAAAACUAAAUUGGUUCGUGAAUUAAGUUAUGCUACAGUCUUCUGUCUAUUGCACUCACUAGUGUGUCAUGCUAAUUUUUCAUUUUUUUAAUUAUAACCCAAUAAUUCAAAUAUUUAUAAUUAAACAAAAACAUUUUUGUAUAUAAAUUUUUUAUUAGAAAUAAUAAAUAGUAAAAUUAACUUACACACACACACAUAUAUUCUAUACAAUGCUGUAAAAGACGGAAGUUAGAAUUAAAUGGUGCGAGUUACCUUCUACUAAUUAAUCAGAUAAUUGGAAAUUAAUUGAAAUGAUUAAAUUGGAACAUUAUUCGGAUAUAUUACAAUAAUAAUUUAAUAUUUAAUUUAUUAACCUAUUAUAUUAGUCUUACAAAUCUAUUUUAUGAUUAAUCGAAUUUAAAAAAUUGAAUCUGCAGGAUACCUUGUAACAAUUAAUCGGGUAAUUAAUUGGUCAAAUCAAAAAUUUUUAGAUGAUGAUUAUAUAGUUGAAUUUAUUAUAAUAACAUAUCAAAAUAGUAUAAAACUAUAUUAAAUAUUAUUUUAAGGUUAUUAUAAAUUUUUAUAAAUAUUAUAUUUCUUAGACACUACGAUUGUUUAAACUCAUAUUUAAGUUAUUGAAAUUUAUCAAAUAAUUGAUAAUAAUAUUUCAGAAAUUAAGUUAUCCGGGUGUUUCAGUCAUUUAGUAUUAAUUGUGGUUUAUUAUUGAAACUGAUUCCCAAUAAUAUAUAUUUCAAAUAUAAUUUUGCAUCAUCUCCUGAACUAAUACAGUGGUGUUUGGCCCUCAUUAAAAUCCGGCUUCUGAAACACUUAUUUAUACUAUUCGGAUAAGAAGUAAACAAAUACUUAUAAAAAGUUGAGAAUAGUCAAAAAUGACGUCUUAAUUUGUUGAUAACUUUGACUUCAGUUAUUUAUUUUAAAUAAUAAACAUUUAUUUUAAAGUCACUUCAAGAGUCCAUAUUCAUCAUCAACUCAGAAGUACAUAAAUUUGGUGAUCACAAUUUCUAUGUCUAGAAAACAUACGGGAUGAGUGCCUUGACAUCUUUUGGGAAGUCUUCAAAGUUUGAGAGGUACCAUUUUCUUGUUGCCUAACUUCUCCCCAUCAAGCAAACAGCUGAACCAACCGUGAAAGAUAAUGCAUAUACAGUUUGCGAAAUACAGGAGAUUCCGACAAAUCCUAUAAUCUCGAAUAAAUAAUGUGGGCAUAUAAUUAACUAAAUCAAACAAACCUCCUCGAGGAAUCUUGUACUGUUUCUCCCCCUCUUUUCUUAGCUUGGAUAGCAGGUAGUGGUGAUAAAAAUUCCCAGUUAUUCCUGCUAAGAAAAUGGCUGUUCCAGCGUAUUUCAGAUCGAUUACUGGCUCCGGGAAUUCUGCUGCUAAAUGCUGAUGAGAGUAGGUCACAGUAACCGUAUACAAGAAAUAACUAGCCGAGAUGUUGAUUACGAUAUCUAUGGGCAUGCUCAGUGGCGGAACCAGGAAUAAAUUAUAGGGGGGGCUCGAAUUUGAAAGCAAAUGAGAUUGUAAAGGACUAUUGAAAUUUUAAUCUAGAGAGGGAGAGUCGCUGAGAGCAGGUUGCAGGCCUGUGGGAAGUGGACAUUGAGAGUCGGCCGCUGGGAAGAGAGCGCAACUGAGCAGGUUGUCGUCGCGGGUUCACAGCUGAAUGAAUUUAUCACAGUGAGAUGCUGAGUUAGGAUAUUGUCAAGUGUGUGUACGACUUAUGAGUGUAUCUGUUUGAAUGUACUCCCUUUAUCCCAAAUUAGAUGAUUUUUUUGGGAAAAAAAUUUAUUCCGAAAUAGUUAAGCCUCUUUCUUUUCAAUGCACAUUUAUCAACAAUCUUCCAUUCUUAUCCUUUCUUAUUUAUCAUUUCUAAUGUACCAUCUAGCUGGUAUUAUAGAAAGUCAACACAAUAUAUAUGCGCAGAGAUGGAAAAAAGAACAAUCUUUUGAUACUCCUUAAUAUGUGUGAAAUGAGCAAAAAGCUCAUCUAAAUUGGGAUGAAUGAGGUAUUUGUUAAUCUUUCUUUAGACCAAGAGCAAGUCCAAAGUAGAGAGAAAAAGAGAGUAUGUAUAAGAAUUUAUUAUAAAAUAUGGGAUAGAGAAGGGAGAGAGAGGUGUCUUAUAAAAAAGCCUGGAAGAGGUUGUCCUAGUUAUAUAAGGCAUCACUAGGACAUUGUUGGAUCAACAUUUUUCAUUAAAUACCUUAAAUUAUGACUUAGGACAUGUUAUAAAGUAUCUCCUGGACUCGUUUGAAGUGUCCUAAAUUAUAUUGACAUCAAUAGUUCAGCGGGGGCUGGAAAAAAAAAUAUGCACUGUUUUUUCGAGGUUAGGGGGGGCUCUAGCAUCCCCUAGCCCCCCUCUGGUUCCGCCACUGGGCAUGCUUCCACUGUACUUGUGGAUGAAUAAAACCUGAACAUAGAAUACAACUGUUAAUUAGCUCAAAAUUUUAAGUUUCUCAAGUUCAACUGUUUCUAGAUUAGGAACAAUUGUUGCUGUUAAGACCACAGAACAAGAGAAAAAUCAUGCACUGCUGAUAGAAUGUGUCAACUACAUAACUUAACGUUACCGAUUACAUACCUCAAAAAGCCUUUUGAAGAAAUGGACGGUAAGAGCAGAAGUAAGCAAAGUGAACCUAAGGCCCCCAUCUCGCAUAAAGGCUAAAGAGAUAACACUAGCAACGAAAGCUGGUGCAUAAGCAACCAGCAUUCCAUUUCUACCAGAAAGCUCGGUUAUCUUAGUACCAGAAGCUUCAACAUUCUUCUUGUUGGUGUUGAAAAACUUGGAGUACUGCAUGCUCUUUCCUUUUACUUCCAUCAAUCCACCAUUUAGUAAUAUUGCACCUGUGAUUACUGACAUGGAGUUUAUGAACCAGGAUGCUGGCGGCGGGUAGAUAAAUCUCAGCAAUGUUGACAGAACCAUUGUUCUGAGCGGAGUAUUCAUAAAUGUUAUGAGGUCCAUGGAUAGUGGUUCAUGCAAAGAGAAGAGUUUCUAUUUAUAGAGAAUUCGAUUUAGUAUCAUGAUAUUAAAAAUAAUAUUGUUACUAGUUAUUUUGUUUUUAAUUAAUUGGGUAUGCAAGUGAAUUCUACUUGCAGACAUAUGGCGAUCCCCGUGAAACCAUUUGGGAAAAAAAACCACUGACAUGUUAGAGGAUCUCUAAUAAGCUCUUUAUUUGAGCUCUUAAAUUAAAAAAUAAAGAGUCAUGCCAAAUUUUGAGCUCCAAGAGACUCUUUGAGGCUCUUUAAAAACUUAAGAGUCUCUUCUCUCUCCUCAAUUGUAGGAGCCACUAGAUAGCUCUUAACCAAUAUUUUAUUAUAAGUUUGUUCCACUUACUCUCUUUCUUUCCACUUUCUUUUGUCUUUUUAUGAGUUGAAUAUACUUUUAAUGGGUGAGGUUCAAAUCAGAACCUAUAUUAGAAUUAGAACUUAGGACCUUAGACAUCCGUCAGAUUUAUUUAAAAUCUAUGGCUAUGAUCUAAAGGGCAUUUAUAUUAAAACAUUUAAUAUCUUCCCUCAUUAAAGCACACAUUAUAUUUUACAUUAUAUUAGGUAAUAAAUUAUAUAUCAUAUCUCACUAUUUCAGGAAAUAUAUCACACAUGAUAUAAUUAUAGUAUACCAUUGCAGUAUAUUUAAGUUAAAUAUAAAAUAAUCAAAUCAAUUCACAAAUAUAAUAUGGUAUACCAUUGCAGUAUAUUUAAGUUUUAGAUAAAACAAUGAAUUCACUAAUUAUUUCAUUUUGGCUUAUAUCGUGUUUCUGAAUUGAAUCUAUUAUUUUAUCUAUUACUUACAUAUACUGCAAUGGUAUAUACUAUAGUUAUGUUAUUUUUGUAUUAGUUCGACAAUAGUGUAAGAGUAUAAUUUAUGAUAUACUGCAAUAGUAUUUUUUUUGUUUGAAUGUAUAUCUGACAUAAAAAGAUAUAUUUCUUAUAUAUUUUUAAAUAUAUAAAAAAUGAUAUAUUGAAUAUAUUGGUAUAUUGUAAUUUAUAUGUUCCUCAAUGAUAGUAUGAUAUGAUUAAAAACAUAAAGGAUAUAAUCUAUUUACAAAAUAGAGUAUACUGCAGCAAUAUAUAAUAAUUAAAAUUAAAACUAAAACUACUUAUGGUAAGUUAGUCAUUUUAUUUAAAGUGAUUAGUUAUUGAUCAUAAAUAUGUACAUAUUUAAUGCAUAUAGUACUUCACAAUUAAAUGCAAUUUAAAUCCCAUCCAUAUAAUAUACUUAGAUCUAAUGGUCCUCUAACAAUAACUUGGUUCUAUCUCGAACCUGACCCUACUUUUAAUAAUAUAAAAAGAAAUAAAGAGGGGAUAUAAAGAACAUUGUUGGAGUACAUGUACACUAAAUUGCUAAGAGCUAAUAAUUUAUAUUAUAUUUAAGAGUGAUUCUAAGAGUCUAUUGGAGAUACUCUUAGUAUAAGAUAUUUUGGCUUAUAACAUUUCCUCAAAAAUCGUACUCCCUCCAUCCCACUUGUUUUGUCUUAUUUGAUUUUUUGUGGUUAAAUUGAUCGAACUUUGACCGGUAAUAACUAAUAAUUCUUACAUGAUUUUUAAAAUCAUAAACAUACAUCUUAAAGUAGAAUAAAUGUAGAUUUUAGUACUAAUAUAUUUUCUUAUAUUAUUAUCAAAGUUUGGUCAAUUUGAUCAUAAAAAGUCAAACAAACCAAAAGAAAGGGAGGGAGGGGGUAACAUAUUCUAGACAUGCUGAUAAAGGGUACUCUAGCCCAAUUCUACAGCUAAAAAUUCACUAACAUGUUACAACUACCAAAAAUUGUGAUUUUUGAUCAAUUAUGGUUUUUUUGCAAAAUUCGACGAAAAGGGUGCGAUCAAUGACUAUGGUGCCGCACGUUGCUUAAAUCAAAUCGAGUAUAUUAUAUAAGGCAUAAGUUCUGUGGAGACCCCAAAUCUUUGGAGACUUGGAGUCCUGCAUCCUGACCCUUGAUCCAUUUUAUAAUCCAACGGCUGAUAUGAUUUCAGUUUAUAAUUUUAUAAUUUUUCUUUUCAUUAAUUCAUAUCUUUGAGUAUAGUAUAUGUAUAGAUGCUGAUUUUAUAACCGACACUUACCGGUGGAGAGCCAUUUCCGGAACACGAUUUCUCCAUUAAUCUAAUGUCUUUCAUCAUAUAUAUCCAUUAAUCGUCUCAUUGUUCCGCAGUUCUUAAGUGUUCAUUGUUCCACAGUUUUUAAAUGUUCAUUGUUCUGCAGUUCUUAAGUGUUCUUCUCUUCAUUUUCGACUAUUGUCACUCCAUUUAUCUUUUAAGGUUAAGUGAUUGGGCUGUUCUGCAAAUGGUGUUAUGAGAGGAACAUUCAGAUUUGAGGAACAAUCAAGUUUAAGUCACGGAACAUUGUCAAGCAACAUGUAGACAAUACUAAUACACAAAUCAGGGAAACAUAACAUGCGAACUAAACAUAAUUGUUUUGCUGUUUUUAAUCUCAACUGUCAGUUUUGUUGCUCAUCCAAUGGUCCAGGCUUGGGACUCCAAGGACUCCAGUUAUGUGAGUCUCCAAGGAGCCCAACUCUAUUAUAUAAUUAUAACACAUAAUAUACAGGGAAAAUGUCAUAGCAAAUAGUGGAAUUAGUUUUUAUGUGCAUAGUCUGCGCAACAAUUUGAAAAUGUUUUAGUAGGACAUGCAUGUGAUAGCCGACUGGCCCGACUCUAAUAUACCAGAAAAUUAGUUAGCUGAUAUAACGAAAAGUUAGGCAAUAAAUAAAGAUCAAUACAGCAGGACAAAGCAAUUGACAACGGUUACUUGGAAGUAGAAUCCAGAGCCUUAAGUAAGUAUCGUCAUUCCUGCUGCUCUUUAUCUUAUCACGCUUUGAACUUCCUCUGCUCCUUUCUGGUGCUUAGUUUUUAAUACAGCAAAUUUUUUAGAAAGCUAACUGUGUUUGUUAGUAUAAGGUAUUGAUGAACACAUCCAUGAAUCAUCAUGCUCAUCUAGGCUUUUCAGUGUUAAGUGACCAAUUCUCUUAAAACUUCAAUGUGUUAGGAGGAGAGUUUACCAGGAUCAUAUUCCAACACUCUGUGGGAAGAGAUAAACAUCGAAGCAGAAAAUCCAGCACGUGUAGAAACAUGUGGACAACGUGGAGAUCAUAGAGUUGACAGGGCAAUUUGCAUAAGAACAAAGGUAGACAACUUAAUCGGUUGGUAAAAGGUAGUUGGUAAAUAUCUUGAUCAAAUGUAUGCCAAGGGAUAGUUUGUAGCCUAAUGUUUUGAUUCAAGGUUGCACAAAUCAACAAAAUCAUUUCGAAUAUGACCAGAAUUGUUCAUAGAGAUAAUUAAUACAUCAGGAUAAACAUUCUUUGUCUUUUACAGUUACUAAAGAACCAUGCUAGUAUGCUACAUUCUCCAAAUGGCUUUUAACAGUCUUACAAGCCAUUUAGAUACUGGUAUUUCUAUGUUCGAUCUAGAAAACAAAUGGAAUGAGCGCCUUUAUAUCUUUUGGGAAGUCUUUGAACUUCGAGAGGUACCAUUUUCUUGUUGCAUAACUUCUCCCAGUCAAGUAAGCAGAUGAACCAAAGGUGAAAGAUAAUGCAUACACAGUUUGCGAAAUGCACGAGAUUCCGAUAAAUCCUGUAAUUUCAAAUAAAUAAUGUGGGCAUAUAACUAAAUGAAACAAACCUCCUUGAGGAAUCUUGUACUGUUUCUCCCCCUCUUUUCUUAGCUUAGAUAGGAGGUAGUGGUGAUAAAAAUUCCCAGUUAUUCCUACUAAGAAUGUCGCUGUUCCAGCGUGUUUCAGAUCGAUUAUUGGCUCCUUGAAUUCUGCUGCUAAAUGCUGAGAGUAGAUCACGCUAACCGCAAAUAAAAAGUAACUGCCGGAGAUGAUAAUUACUGUAUCUAAGGGCAUGCUUCCGCUGUACUUGUGGAUGAAUAACACCUGUACACAGACAUGUUCAACUUUUGUUUCAAUAUUUUUGGUAAAGAAUAUGGAACAAGAAACUUGAGAUGUUUCUUAGUUUAUACUAUAAAAGGUAAAAACUAUGUGGUUUCCAGAAAAAUAGUGAAAAACUAAAACAGUUAUAAUAAAACUGUUCUUUUGCCGUCUAACAAACACUAACAACCACUUUUGACAGAAAAUUUUUAUCAGCUAGUUUAAUCUCAUAAAUAAUGAUGAAUUUCUAUAUGCACGAAAAUCUCCACCGACCAAAAUCAGUCACAAGCACAAAAAGUAAUUAUACACAAAAAGUAAUUCUUCCCAAAUUAAAGAGCCUGUUAUAAAACAAGGGUAGAGAAUUGUUGCAUACCUCAAAAAGUCUCUUGAAGAAAUGAACGGCAACAGCAGAAGUAAGCAACGUAAACCUGAGACCCUGAUUUUGCAUCAAAGCUAAAGCGGCAACAGCAGCAACAAAAGCCGGGAAAUAGGCCAGGAGCAUUCCAUUUCUACCAGAAAACUCGAUCAUCUUACUUUUGACAUUCUUCUUGCUAGUGUUGAAGAUCUUUGAAUAGUGCAUCAUGCUACUCCCGCUUAUUUCCAUUAAUCCAGCAAUAACUAAAGAUACAAUACUCACCAUUGACAUGGCCGUUAAAAACACUGAUUCUGGCGGUGGGUAGAUAAAUCUCAGUAAUGUAGACGACACCAUUAUUUGUGCAGAAAAUAGAAAUUGUAGAGAGAGAUGCUUGUUGUGGGAGGUACUCGUUCAACAUAUAUGAAUUAUGAAGCAUUCUUGUAAAUUAUUAAGUGGAUAGGAUGCUGUAUUUUUGUGAUCCAUAAUUGUACUAAACUUUAUUUAAAAUAAUGCAAUGCUAGGGUCCGAUAUUCAAGAAGCGUUACAUCUUUUAGUAGUGGAGUACAUGUGCAUCGAGUCCACUUGCGUUAUGAAAAAAGUUUAUAUUUAAAAAUGUGAAUAAUGAAUUCGGCAUUUAACCUGGUUAUAAAAGUUUAUGUUAUAAUUUUUUAAUUUAAUUGCCAAUAAAUUUUUAAUUAUUUAUAUUUAAAUUUUAUUUAUAAAUAAUUUGAAACAUAAUUAUUCAUUAAUUAUUUAGAUCAUUCAAAUACAACCAUCAUUAAGAUUUGUUUUGCAGAAUAUAAUAUCUUGCGAUUUAUAAAAACUAUCAUUCUAUCUUUUAAUUAUAAUGAUUGUGUUGUAACAUAUUCGAUAAUUAAGUUAUCGGUGUUUAAAAUAUUAUUGAACACCAAAAAAUAAAAUUUAAAUAAAUAUAUUAUGUUAUAUUAUAUUUUAUUUUAUAAUACUCCUGACUCCAUAAAACUUGGAUCUUAAGAACUUCAUUAAAACAUAUUAAGAAUAUAUGACAUUUCAUAUUAACUAUAUAUUAAAAUUAUUAAAUUCAUUUCAAAAAUUUAAAGGCCAACAUGACAAUCAUCGCGAGCACAAAGCAAACAACAAAAAGCUCGAUCAACAUUAUUUGAAGAAAAUUGUGGUAGUACUCAAUUAAUGAUUUGUUUAAAAAAUUUAAUUAAAUAAUUGCUAGUAAAAACUAUAUAUUGAAAAGGAACCUUGAAUAAACAAAAACCUUACAAAAAAUGCAUCGUACACGACUGUACAUAUUUGAAAAGAAAGUCAAUUAUUUGAUAUAAUAUUGUUACAAAUUGUUUCCUCUAAUAUGCAAAUGCUUAAUGCUCCGAGCCUCUAAUGUGCAAAUGAAGUGGCGGGCUGAUAUUACGAAAUGUUAGGCAAGACAAUAGUAUACACUAAUUUAUUAUUUAACGUUUUGAUUUUGACAAAUAUUUUUGACCGGCAACAUCAAAUAAUAAAACGAAUUUUCUAUGGUGUGCCCAUGGGCACACAAUAGUCACUAACUCUCAUGAGAAUACUAACUUUUGAUUGGUGGAUGGAUAUUAAAUGUUAAUGGCCCCCCUGUAUUUACACCAAUUCCACCAAUCAAAUUAAGUCAUUUUCAUGAAAGUUGGUGCUUAGCAUGUGCCCAUGGGCACACACUAGAAAAACCGAUAAUAAAAAACAGAGACAAAACUAUUGACUAUCGAGGACCGUGACCACUGACCAGAAUCUUGAGGAUUGUCCCUCGCCACUCCCUAGUGAUCCUUAUCAUUGAUUUCCACUUAUCCUUAUUUUACGAAAGUGUCUCUUGGCAGUGCAUUCUUUUGUGAUAAUUCACGUCCUAGAGUCAUUUUCGAAAAUUGUUUCAUGCCUACUUAUUUUACAAAAGUUCAGAUAUAUGACUCCUUGAGAUUGUGCUAUACUAUAUUGACCCGCUGUGAGUUCUAUAAAGAUUUGGAUCAGUUCACACUUCUGAGUUUGUAUAACAUGAAACACAUUGAGCCCAAUAACAUAUUUGAUGAUUCACAAAUUAUCAUAGCGCAUAAAUGAUCACACGAUGCAUAUAUUCACCAGCUGUGAUUAUACUUACAAAAUUGAAUAAAUUAUACUACUGUGUUCAAUCCUUACAACAUUAAGCUUAUUAUUCUAAAGAAAUAGUCACCAUCAUUGCUAAAAUUUUCAUCAUCUUCUAUCGUUGGCAGCUCAGGAUUUCUAGAUUUCUUUGCUAGAGGAUCCUCCGCACAACACUAUGUUACCUAGAUAUAAAUCUUUCGUGGAAGUGCGGAGAACUUGUUCUCUAGACAGGUUUAGGCUGCAAAAAGAGUUAGAGCAGCUAGUCUGACGGUCAAGAAAUUUCAGAUAUUAUUUGGUUCGGUUUGUCUAGUGUAUGCCCAUAGACACAUGCUACGCGUGAAAAUUUUUGUAUUUGGAUCAUUUUGAUUGGUGUAUAUGCAGGGGAUCCACCAUUAUUAAGAAGUAGAAGCUAGCCAAUCAAAAUGAUCCAAAGAAAAAAAAUUUGGUGCUUAGCAUGUACUCAUAGGCACACAAUAGAAAAUCGUAAUUGGUUUGAGCAGAAAUCUAAAGACUCAAUGAGACUAAUGUUUCCCAGUGAGGACGGGAAAUGACCUUUAGAAAUACAGAGAGUUGGUCAUGACUAUACAUGAAUAAAACUUAAUAUCAAAUUAAUUAUCUAAUAAUAUAUAUAAUUUGUAUAAAUAUAUGAAAUAUAAAGCUCAUUCAUAGUUGAAAAUUUUAAGAGUAAAUUUUAAGGGCGUGGCUACAUUUUACAUCGAUUCACAGAAAUAUGACUGGAUUUUAAAAUUGCAGAAAUGUGGCUGAGGUUCGACUCCGUUUUUUAAAACUUUGGCUCACGUUAAAUCCAUCAUAACGGAUCUAAGAGCAAGUCCAAUAGGUGUGCUAAAUCAAGUCUUAAAUCCAAAAAUAGGGAAUAUGGGAUAAAAUUGCACUCCAACACUAUGCUAGUGAUGUGCUAAAUCACUAGCACAAACCUUCCAUUCCCUAUUUUUAGAAUAUGCUAGCCACUUCUAAACUAUUUUUAUCAUUAAAAUAUUCAUUUCUCUCUCUCCCCCACAUCAUUUCCCUCUCUCCUCCACUAUGAAGUUGUUUAAAUUUAAUAUUAUUAUAAUAAUAGGGAAUGGAUAUAGGGAGUACUAUUGGAGCUCAUGUGCUAAAUCACGUGCUAAAUCACUAAGACAUAUUAUUUUAUAAUAUUUUUAGGGAACCUCUUAGCAUAGUGUUGGACUUGCUCUAACGGAGCAAAGGGUAUUUGUGGGUUUUAUGAAAUGCUCCGUCAGUUGUUCAAACGCAGAAACUCGAUCCAUAAUCAUGGCUAGAUGAGUAGAGAAUUCAGUAUCUGUCUUUUUCAAGAACCCGUACUCAAGCGGCUCUGUACAUGCAAUCGAUUUAAUUAAGCUUAAUAGGAUGGGUUGCUCGUACUUUGUGGACUAAUCAUUUGUGUUUUGUGACAAAUGAUUUAUAUAUUCUGAGUCUUGUUUGGAGGAGCAAAUUGUUUCAACAUCUCAUACAAAUCUUCUAUAUUCUCUGUUCUUCUAGCUUCUUGUAGAUCUGGAAACCUCGUGUCAUUCUGAGAGACAGUGGUGAAGUGUGUGUGAAUGUUUGAGGGUUGUGUGCAGGCUGUCAGACUGGAGAGGCUCUGUAGCAACGGUGGCGAAAAUGAAGAAGGAAAGAGAGAGAGGAAAAACACCGGAAUGAGGGGGAUGAGAUGGAGAUGAUUGUGGGUGUGUAUAUGAAGUGUAUUGGAUCUGUGUGCUAGCCUGCUAAGUGAAGUGUGCGCGCCGCGAAUAAAGCCCACCGUCAACAACGGUGGAGGUUGAGGGAGACUACCCAAAUAUUCUGCUUUUUUUGGUUUUACGUAAUUACCCCUAUCAGUUUAUGUUUUUCAAGUGAGUUAACAGUUAAAAAGUAAGGGACUGACGAUAACCAAAGUUUUAAAAGACGUAGUCGAACCUCGGCCACAUUUUGUAAAAUUUAAAAUCCAGCCAAAUUUUUGCAAAUCAAGUGUAAAAUACAGCCACACCCUUGAAAUUUACUCAUUUUUUAAUUAAUACUAAUUUUUCAAAUAUAUUUUUUAAUUAUAACCCCAUAAUUCAAAUAUUUAUAAUUAAACAGACGCAUUUUUUGUAUAAAAUUUGUAUUAGAAAUAAUAACUAGCAAAAUUAACUUAAUAUACACAUAUUCUAUACAAUGCAAGUUAUUUUUAUGAGAAAUAAUAAAUAGUAAAAUCUCUACAAGAACACUUUGGUUUUACGAGGGAUCUCAACCUUUCAGAUCACAAUGAGUUGUCAUCUUAUUAUUGACUUUUCUCUCAUAAACAUUAUGAUCCUUCGUGUAUGUAUAAUAACAACACAAAUCAUAAUUUUCCAUGUGUUAUUUUGAAAGGUUUUUGGGUUGUCUGGUAUUUGGGUUAUUAGGCUAAACAUAAUUAAACUGACUCCCAACUUGCAAUUGAGUUACUGAACUGAAAAAACUUGUAUUUAGAUAAUUUGAUUGAAAGAAAUUACAGUUGACUAAAAUUAAAAAAAAUUAGCGACUAUGUAAGCUCUUUUUUAUUUAACAAUGUUCAGCAAGUUAAUAUCGGUUCAGUUGAUCGACUGCAAAUUGUUAUCCAAGUGCAGUUUUGGGGUAUGAUUUAGCUUAUUAAUCCUAUGAGAAAUGGGACGGUAACGGAAAUUAAUUAUUUUCCCUGCAAAAAUAUGAAGGCAGAUUGUGUUGGAAGAGGGAGUUGGAUUUAUGAGUUGGUGAAUUCAAACUCAACGGCCUUCAAUAUCUAAACAUAGAUUCGUUCGAAUAUGAUCAGAAUUGUUCAAAGAGAAAAUAAAUACAGGAUAAACAUUCUGUAUCUUUUACAGUUACUAAAGAACCACGCUACAUUCUCCAAAUGGCUUUUAACAGUCUUACAAGCCAUUUAGAUACUGGUAUUUCUAUGUUCGAUCUAGAAAACAUACGGAAUGAGCGCCUUUAUAUCUUUUGGGAAGUCUUCAAAUUUCGAGAGGUACCAUUUUCUUGUUGCAUAACUUCUCCCAGUCAAGUAAGCAGAUGAACCAAAGGUGAAAGAUAAUGCAUAUACAGUUUGCGAAAUGCAGGAGAUUCCGAUGAAUCCUAUAAUUUCGAAUAAAUAAUGUGGGCAUAUAACUAAAUCAAACAAACCUCCGUGAGGAAUCUUGUACUGUUUCUCCCCCUCUUUUCUUAGCUUAGAUAGGAG
rnacentral:lncRNA from 1 species